AGGCAAACGCAGCCGCCGAUGACAACAAACCCGUCGUGGCACUCGCAGACACAAGACGCAGCGCGCUUCACCGAUCCGAUCACAAAAGUGAAAAUAGAAAUACAAUUUCAAUAGAGAGCAGCAGAGCAACACAAAUAAAAUAUCACACAACAGCCCGAUUGCCGAAAUAAAAGUACAAAAUCGAAAUCCAGACAGAAGCAAUUGACGUUUUUUUAUUUGUGAUUUGAAACGGAUUCGAGUUCAUUUGCAUAGAGGCGACAGUUAACACCUGGAAUUGAUUAAAGGCACUGGGCUGUGCUGAGUUGAGUGAAUCACGCCCGCCCAUUGUAUGCUCUGUUACACAUUUAUUUAAACCAUCAUGAUACAUUAGAAGCUGCCGGAGGCAACUUGAGUUGAGAAAAAAGAAGGUGUGGCAGGCAAAAGGCAGAGGGCAGAGGGCUGAAGAAGAACUGUCACAGAGCGCAACGACUAAACAUGCAACAUUUUGCAAUGCGUUUGUCAUGCAAUUUUAAUCGCAAUCGCAUUUUUAAUUUUCCUCUUUCCUACCUGUGCCGAGCGCUGUCGUAUUUCUAUUCCGUUCAGCUCAGAAUAUACGUGUAUACGUCGACGCGUUUUUCUCUUGCGGACUUCUCUCGCCGAAGGAAAGAACGUAAAAAAAGAAAAAUAAAAGCGAAUAAAUAUUAAAUGCAAUACACUCUAUACACAUCCAAGAGACAGCGGCAACAGCAAACUGACAAACAGACAGCCAGAGG